CUCGUGCGCAGACUCGGGGCGGAGGUUUUGUCAGAAAGGUUGACGCAAUCGCGCACUUACGGGGAGGGGACUUGUGGAGCCAGUAUGAUGGAGCUCUCUGAAGAUAAGAGAUCUGUGGAAAUGCUUUGAAGUCUCCUUCACCAUACCCCUCUUCUUUUUUUUUUUUUUUUUUUGAGCAUGAACUAUAAAGCAGCAAUUUUUCAGGCGGGGGGGGGGACACUGGACUUCCAGUUAGUCAAUGAUAUUUAUCAAAUACUUAUUAUAUAUUAUGCACUCUAUAGGCUCUAAGAAAACAACAAUGAACAAAAAGAACCUCAUACAAUCUGACGAGAAGGACAAGUACUAAAUAAUGGUGAUAAAUAAAAUCAAGUGAAUUCCACAAAUGUGUAAAAUUCUGACUAUAGGAAGCACGUGGUGGUCUGGAAUCAACUCACAGAAACUCCAAGGUAUGCCUGUAUAAGCUGAGCCCUGAAGGAUGAGCAAGCGGAGAGAUGAAGAGUUUCCAGUGCAAAAGAAACAGCAUGUGCCCAGAGCCUUCCCAGUUACUGGAUGGGGGUUUGUGAUACAAGCAUUUCAUUUACUAAAUGCACUUGUCUAAAGUUGGUCAUCGACUCUCCACUCCCAAUGCAAGGGGCCUGGUUUCGAUCCCUGCUCGGGAAACUAGAUCCUAUCUGCUGCAUCUAGUUCAUGUGCUGCAACUAAAGACUCCACGUGCCACAACCAAGACCCAACAGAGCCAAAGAAAUAAAAGUAAAUAAAAAUAAAGUUGGUC